ACAUGCAAUUCCCUCUUGGCGCCCAGAAAAUUGGUUCCGUUGCAGAAAACAACUCCUCUGGAACACCCCUUUGGGAUACGAAUCUGUGCAGUGCAGCAAUGAACGCAUCCAGCUCAUUGCUUCUCUUCUCCUUCGGUGCUUUCAAUUUGUUGCCAAAUUGAUCAUGGUAGGCCGGUCACAUAAAAAGCUCAAAUCAAAAUUUUUCUUCGAGCUGUCAUGACACAGCCCGAACAUCCUCCCCCAGGCGUUGACUCAAGAUGAAGAAUUAUCCAAGACUGGGAGCGGUGCAAGUUUGUGUAUAGGACGCUUCACACCUGGUCCGGAUAUCAGCAACUCGAAUAAAUCCAUCCGUUCCAGAAUAAACCUUAUGGAUUACUCCCAGCUUCCAAACGUGAGAUGAAAUUGUUUCGAAGUACCUGCACGUACUGCCAUCGCGACAGCCUGUUGUUGGGAUCUCCUCGUACGUUGGCUCCGGUAUUGCCGUUAAAGGACGACCGAUCAUAAAGUGACCAGGAGUCAGUGGUUCGGGGUCUGUAGCAUCUUCCGAAUGUGCAUACAGAGACCGUGAAUUCAGCAAGGCCUUGAUUUGACACAGCAGCGUCGAAAACUCCAUCAAGUUGAGUGAACCAGUGUCGCAAAUCCUUUUCAAAAUUGAGUUGGUGCUCUUGACUCCUGCCUCCCAAAGGCCACCCAUAUGUGGUGAACUUGGUGGUAUCAUUCUCCAGCGCAUUUCACGUGGUUGGUAAAAUUAAUUUAUCUUCCUUUUUGUUAUUUGCUCCUUGAACAGGUUGGACAACUCAUGCAAUUCCCUCUUGGCGCCCACAAAAUUGGUUCCGUUGCAGAAAACAACUCCUCUGGAACACCCCUUUGGGAUACGAAUCUGUGCAGUGCAGCAAUGAACGCAUCCAGCUCAUUGCUUCUCUUCUCCUUCGGUGCUUUCAAUUUGUUGCCAAAUUGAUCAUGGUAGGCCGGUCACAUAAAAAGCUCAAAUCAAAAUUUUUCUUCGAGCUGUCAUGACACAGUCCGAACAUCCUCCCCCAGGCGUUGACUCAAGAUGAAGAAUUAUCCAAGACUGGGAGCGGUGCAAGUUUGUGUAUAGGACGCUUCACACCUGGUCCGGAUAUCAGCAACUCGAAUAAAUCCAUCCGUUCCAGAAUAAACCUUAUGGAUUACUCCCAGCUUCCAAACGUGAGAUGAAAUUGUUUCGAAGUACCUGCACGUACUGCCAUCGCGACAGCCUGUUGAUUGGGAUCUCCUCGUACGUUGGCUCCGGUAUUGCCGUUAAAGGACGACCGAUCUUAAAGUGACCAGGAGUCAGUGGUUCGGGGUCUGUAGCAUCUUCCGAAUGUGCAUACAGAGACCGUGAAUUCAGCAAGGCCUUGAUUUGACAAAGCAGCGUCGAAAACUCCAUCAAGUUGAGUGAACCAGUGUCGCAAAUCCUUUUCAAAAUUGA